GUAGCACUGUGACUGCCUGCCAGGUCUGUCACUGCUUCAUUUCAUUAUUAUAGUCCAGUUGUUUUGGAGCCUGGAAAAUCAAUGAUGUUGGUUUUUUCGCAAAAUUCUAAUUUCUAAAUUUGUGGUUUAGUUGGUUUCAUCUGAAUUCUGCAUUUAUUUCAUUUGGAUUGAAUAUUGGAACCAACACUUGAUCUAGUGGUGAAAGCUGGCCCCCAAAUCAUGAACAUGAAGCUCCCAUUUUACUGCUUUGCUUUGCAUGUGAGAGUCUUUUGUAAAGAUAGGAUGAUGGCCAAGGAGUUCUUAAUAAAUGCUCCAAACAUAUGCAUGAUGUUCUGUCUUAUGUUGACUCUAAAACAUGCCACACAUAUUUGAACUGGACUUAAUUUUAGGCCAAUCUCACGUUAGCGAACAUAGUGAUGGAUUUUUUGUUUUACUGAUAGCUCAAGACACCUUGGUUUUCACAGGAUGCCAUUUGCAGAAAGCUUCUAUCUCUUCUGACAACAUUCUAACCUACACAAAUUUGC
rnacentral:misc_RNA from 1 species